rnacentral:rRNA from 1 species
UACGUAGGGAGCAAGCGUUGUUCGGAUUUACUGGGCGUAAAGGGCGCGUAGGCGGCGCGGUAAGUCACUUGUGAAAUCUCUGAGCUUAACUCAGAACGGCCAAGUGAUACUGCAGUGCUAGAGUGCAGAAGGGGCAAUCGGAAUUCUUGGUGUAGCGGUGAAAUGCGUAGAUAUCAAGAGGAACACCUGAGGUGAAGACGGGUUGCUGGGCUGACACUGACGCUGAGGCGCGAAAGCUAGGGGAGCGAACGGG